rnacentral:rRNA from 1 species
UACGUAGGGUGCGAGCGUUAAUCGGAAUUACUGGGCGUAAAGUGUGCGCAGGCGGCAAAGCAAGUCGAGUGUGAAAGCCCCGGGCUUAACUUGGGAAUUGCGCUCGAAACUACUUUGCUGGAGUGUGGCAGAGGAAGGUGGAAUUCCACGUGUAGCGGUGAAAUGCGUAGAGAUGUGGAGGAACACCAAUGGCGAAGGCAGCCUUCUGGGCCAACACUGACGCUCAUGCACGAAAGCGUGGGGAGCUAACAGG